GUGUGUGUCUCUUAUGAUCUAAAUGGCAUCCAAAUCAAAUACAUAGAUGAGGAUAACGAAGAG
rfam:Xenopus tropicalis strain Nigerian Chr10_contig_697, whole genome shotgun sequence.